GUUAGGAAUAUUGGACAAUGGGCGAAAGCCUGAUCCAGCCAUGCCGCGUGAACGAUGAAGGCCUUCGGGUUGUAAAGUUCUUUAGCCGAUGAUUAUAAUGACUGUAGUCGGAAAAUAAGCCCCGGCUAACUUCGUGCCAGCAGCCGCGGUAAUACGAAGGGGGCGAGCGUUAUUCGGAAUCACUGGGCGUAAAGCGUGCGUAGGCGGGUUUGUAAGUUAGGAGUGAAAGCCCAGGGCGCAACCUUGGAAUUGCUCUUAAAACUGCAAGGCUCGAAUCUCGGAGAGGAUAGCGGAAUUUCCAGUGUAGCAGUGAAAUGCGUAGAUAUUGGAAGGAACACCAGUGGCGUAAGCGGCUAUCUGGACGAGUAUUGACGCUGAGGCACGAAAGCGUGGGGAUCAAACAGGAUUAGAAACCCUAGUAGUCC
rnacentral:rRNA from 1 species